CAGAGAUCCUGAGAAACCACCAAACCUGUGCUAAACUGGGCUCUAAAACAAGUCUCUGACCUGAUUGUGGUCAGACCUCCUGGGAGAACGCAGAGGACCCUACAGUGGUCAGGUCGAGAUCCUCGUGUGACAAGUCUCCAAAGCGCAAAAGCCGUUCACAGGUCCCAGAGCCGACCUUUCAACUAGAGAAGCUAUGCUCCAAACAAACCACGCAGAACGAAAACCAAAAUCCAGCCCAGAGGGUAACCCCUCUCCAGUGGCACUUCUGGGCUGACCCCGGCCCCGGCCCUGGCCCCGGCCCCGCCCCCGCCGCCGCGGCCCCGCCCACCCAGGCCCCGCCCCCGCCGCUCCCACGGAGCCUGGGUUCCCAGGGCCCGGACCACCCGCGGGGCUUGGAGGGAUCUGGCCGGGGGCCACCCAAGCUCAACCGAGAGUGCACAGGGGCCGCACGGCAGCGACCGGCCGGGGAACCGUAAGGACAUCCAGGUUCCCUGUCCCCCCACCUCUCGGUUACGGAAAGCUUGCUUUCUCUAGGUGACCAUCCCUGUCAACCAGACUUGGCGCUCCCAGGCCACACGUCUCCCGUCAGGAAGCAGACAAAAGAUCUGGGUUGGACGGCAGGCAAGUACCUGCUGUGUGUCAGGCACGAGUGCCCCCGCCUCAUCCCAGGGGGCAGUCAUGCGCAUUGAACAGCGAAGAAACUGAGUUUCACCCCA